AGGAUGAACGCUGGCGGCGUGCCUAACACAUGCAAGUCGAACGUCCUGUCUCGCAAGAGGCAGGGAGUGGCGGACGGGUGAGUACCACGUGGGUCAUCUACCGUGAGGUGAGGAAUACCGGCGAGAAAUCGCCGACAAGACCGCAUAGGCUCGAUGCAAGUCGAGCAAAGCUCUUUCGAGAGAGGGAGCGCCACACGAGGAGCCUGCGCCCGAUUAGCUAGCUGGUGGAGUAACGGUUCACCAGGGCGACGAUCGGUAGCUGGUCUGAGAGGACGAUCAGCCACACUGGGAUUGAGAACGGCCCAGACUCCUACGGGGGGCAGCAGUGAGGAAUUUCGUCAAUGGGGGCAACCCUGAACGAGCAACGCCGCGUGCAGGAAGAAGGUUUUCGGAUCGUAAACUGACUUUUCUCGGGGAAGAGAACGGACGGUACCCGAGGAAUCAGCCCGGCUAACUACGUGCCAGCAGCCGC
rnacentral:rRNA from 1 species